rnacentral:lncRNA from 1 species
AGAUCACCACGGUGACUUGCAAGCAACUCACUGUGCUUUGGUGCCGGACUGUCUGUAUUUUUAAUAUAGGUUCGAAAAGUUUUAGGGUAUAGUCAAGUACUUGUGAAGUCUCUGUAUGAGUCAAGAUGGGAUUGAUCACUCCUGAUUAACUUCAGAUAGAGAAUAUCUUACCGUGUUUCAAUUUAGCAAAACCUAGGCCUGGAUAAUCCUCCUGAGGAGUUACGGGAUUUAUAAAAUUUUGAAACACAAUAGAGAUA